CAACGCCUCCCCAAGGUAAAUUCGCCCCACCCCUCUCUCAUCUUCUAAAAAAAAUUCUCACCCUCCUCUUCUCCUCCUCGAGUGGCGGCUAGGGUUAUCGCUGCCGCUGCCGCUGCCGCCGUCGCCCCACUUUUUAUCUCAUGUGCUUCGGCGAGGUGGGUCAAGCUAGCGCACGCGCAAAGAGUUGCUCCGGCGCGGGCGCCGCUGAGGUGGAGGUGGAGCUACGGCGGCUGGUGGUGGACGGUCGUCACGUCGAUGUUAACUUCGACGAGUUCCAUCACCUCCACUACUACCUCAGGUUCCUUGCUUGCUCGCCGUUGGGUCCGAUCGAGGCUCAGUCCUCACCCUUGUGGCCAUAUCCCUCUCUAUCGGAACCAACGGCCAAAUCGGGCUUGUCGUUCGGCGGAGGCAGGGUCAAGGAGGAGGAGGCAGUGAACGGAGAAGGAAGGAGGCGCUGGGGUGCCAGCGGAUGUUCACCUGCCACCUUGCUUGUUGUUCGCUAGGGCAGUAGGCCUGCGGGGAUGACAUGGGAGCCUCCUGAGGUGUCAAAAGUCACAGCACCGUAUUCCUCCCAUGUUUUUGGUGGAUGGACUACAGCCCCAUGGUGUUAAGGAAAAAUUGGUUCAUUGACAAGAUCAAAAGGGAAAGGAGGUAGUACAUUCAGGCACUGAAAGCUUUACGAAGCCAUUUUAUGUCAUUCAUAUUUUUCUGCGCAAUGUAACUUGAAAUUUUAAUAGUGAGGAAUAUUGUCCGGUUGAAGGUGUUUCCACAUAGUUUUUAGAUCAUUGCAUAUAUUUUAACUUUAGGUGCAGCUAAAGCUUUUAGAUCAUUACAUCUUGCUGCAGAGUAGGCAUAGUGGACAUUGAUGGCAAGCACAUGCAUCAUUGGUAACAAUGAUUUCACAAUGUAACUUACAUGGGCCUCAUUUAGUGACAUAGUGCACAUUGAUUAAUGAUUAGAGAUUUUUUUAUCA